CCCCCCAGUUUAAUCUAUUUUUACCUAUUAUCAUCUCAAUUGUUUCCUAUAAUGCUUUAGCAAUUACCUUGUUGAGAUUACAGAAUUAUAGAUGGAUAGAACAACUUUGAUAACUCGGUUGGAAUAUCUGAAAAUCUCUUUUUUUUGUUACAAUAAUUUAUUAUAUUUUUACCUUUGUGGGCUCUUAUUUUCAAAUUUUUUUUAAAAUCAACUUCGAUGAUCGUAUGCCU
rnacentral:lncRNA from 1 species